AACACGAGCACUGCCUCUCCUCGAUGCGCACGGGUAUGGCACCGCCGCCGCCGUCACCCGCGGCCGGUCGGCCUCUCCAGCCAUCCGCCGCCGCCACGCGCGGCCGGUUGUCCUCCCCGGCCAUCCGCCGCCCUGUUCUCCAUCCCCUCCCCGGUUGUCCCCGAUCACACACGAGCACGGGAUCUCUGUGAUGCGCACGGGUACGGCGCCGUCGCCGCCGCCACGUGCGACCGGUCGUCCUCUCCGGCCAUCCGUCGCUGCCACGCGCGGCCGGUAGUCCUCUCCGGCCAUUUGCCGCCUUGUUCUCCAUCCCCUCCCCAUGCGUCCCCAAUCAGCCUCCUCGAUCUCGAACCUCAUGUUGUCGUCCUUCUCUGAUUUGGAUCAAAGUGGAGCCAUCAAUGGAAGCAGGGGAGCAGCAGAUGUGGAGCCAAUGGAGGAGGAGGAACAGCUCGGGAAACAUGAGGGAAGGUGUGGAUCUGACGGAAGCGGGGGAGCACAGCAGAUGGAGCCAUCUUAUCGACCCGUUUGGCGACCGGCCGGCUAGCCAAGCCCCUUCGCUCCCAUCACGUCCUCUAGCUCCGACGGUCGCCUGCCCGCACGGGGAUUAGAUGUCUUCGCCGUCACACGUGAGGAUGUUCUUGGACACUCUGUGUUGCUGCUGUUUGUAGUUGCAGAAGUCUUAAGGAGUCAGAGUAGCUUCCACAUCUGUAGUUAGGGCUGACGAUUGUGAUUUUGGGCCUGUACUGAAUAAUUUUGGGAGCGGCUGGGUGAUUACAAGCCAGGAGGACUGCAUGUGAUGAGUUAAGGGCUUAAGGCACAAGAAGAACUACGGCCAUUUUAGCUCCAGCAGUAAGCCAGUGAGUACACAACCAAUCAACCAUGCAUUUUCACGACCCAGGUUUCUGAAUUCUGGCUGACAGGCUCGCUGCCACAGCCACAUAAUCGCACACAUUCAAAUUGCUAGCUACACAAAAUACGCCCGGAUCUACGAGUAGAAAUCCAAGCCUUUUAAGGUCGGUUCUUCUUCCGGGAUUGCAGAGAGCAUGGAUCGCCAUAUGGAAGGAGAUGCCAUCCUUACUGUCGUUGUCUUUGGCAUGUUGCUGCCAUCUUUCUAAUCCUUGCACUGCAGAGACCUCAGUCUAUCCAUGGUUCAGAACUGUUACCUUGCUACACCUACACAUGUGGAAAACAUAAACUUGGCAGUCUAAAAUUAAGCAGCAAACUUCAUUGCCGGUCAUCUAAAAAUUCAGUGACAACAGCUGGCACACGAGCUUCAUUUUUUAGUAGAGAUAGUAUAUGAUGCAGAUGACAGUUCUACCUCUUUGACUGAAACAAGAACUUCCUCACCAAGGGCAUACGUACAAGACAGGGGCAUACCUGCAGGACAGCAGGAGGUCCUCAGGCACGCAGCACACAUUCACCAAAGAUAUGGAGCUACCAUUUUAGAUUAGUACUAGCAUAAUGGUACGUACUGUGUGUUUUAGCAUAUUAGUAGUAGCAUACCUGCAAGAGGUCCUAAGUUUGUUCAGUUCUAUACAAAGUUGAGUUGGUAUGUAGUGUUGAGAGGAUCCUAAAAUAUUGUACUACAUAAUCUCUUUCCAGGUUCAUGAAAACUUGCACUCUCCUGUUGAAUUUCGCAUUUUGGUCGAUUUGUAC